GAUGAACGCUGGCGGCGUGUCUAAGGCAUGCAAGUCGAGCGCGAUUACGGUAGCAAUAUCGUAGUUAGCGGCAAACGGGUGAGUAACACAUUGGUAACCUGCCUCAAAGCCGGGGAUAGCCUGUCGAAAGACGGAUUAAUACCCGAUAGUCAUGCGAGAGCUCAAGCUUUUGUAUGUAAAGGUUUUUCGCUUUGAGAGGGACCUAUGGCCUAUCAGCUAGUUGGUGAGGUAAUGGCUCACCAAGACUAUGACGGGUAGCAGGCGUGAGAGCGCGACCUGCCUCAGUGGAACUGAGACACUGUCCACACUCCUACGGGAGGCUGCAGUCAAGAAUAUUCCUCAAUGGACGAAAGUCUGAAGGAGCGACGCCGCGUGCAGGAUGAAGGUUUUCGGAUUGUAAACUGCUUUUACAAGGGAAGAACCAGUGACGGUACCUUGUGAAUAAGAGGUUGCUAACUCUGUGCCAGCAGCAGCGGUAAUACAGAGACCUCAAGCGUUAUCCGGAUUUAUUGGGCGUAAAGCGUCCGCAGGUGGUCUAGCGGGUUAGAAGUUAAAACCUAUCGCUUAACGAUAGGACUGCUUCUAAAACUACUAGACUUGAGUAUGGAAGAGGCAAGCGGAAUUCUCGGUGUAGUCGUAAUAAGCGUUGAUAUCGAGAAGAACACCAAAUGCGAAGGCAGCUUGCUGGUACAUUACUGACACUCAGGGACGAAAGCGUGGGGAGCAAACAGGAUUAGAUACCCUGGUAGUCCACGCCCUAAACUAUGCAUACUAGGUAUUGGCAGUAUCGACCCUGUCAGUGCCGUUUAAAAAAGCUAACGCGUUAAGUAUGCCGCCUGGGGAGUACGGCCGCAAGGCUAAAACUCAAAGGAAUAGACGGGGACCCGCACAAGCGGUGGAGCAUGUGGUUUAAUUCGACGGUAAACGGGGAACCUUACCUGGGCUCAACUACUAGCUGCAAGCCAGCAGAAAUGCCGGCCGCCUUCGAGGGUGCUAGAUAGGUGCUGCAUGGUUGCCGUCAGCUCGUGCCGUGAGGUGUACCAUUAAGUUGGGAAACGAGCGCAACCCACGUCGUGUGUUAAAUGCACACACGAGACCGCCCGGCUCUUUGGGCGCAAAGAAAUUUGCGAACAGGGAGCCGGGAGGAAGGGGUGGACGACGUCAAAUCAGCAUGGCUCUUACGUCCAGGGCCACACACAUGCUACAAUGGAUAUUAACAAUGGGUUGCCAAGUCGCGAGACGGAGCUAAUCCCAUCAAACAUAUCCUCAGUUCAGAUUGAAGGCUGCAACUCGCCUUCAUGAAGUCGGAAUCGCUAGUAAACGCGUAUCAGCCACGGCGCGUUGAAUACGUUCUCGGGUCUUGUACUCACCGCCCGUCACACCACGGGAGCUGGCAAUGCCCAAAGUUCCCUUACGGGGAUUAAGGCAGGGUCAGUGACUAGGGUG
rnacentral:rRNA from 1 species